UGAUCUCGGAAGCUAAGCAGGGUCGGGCCUGAUUAGUACUUGGAUGGGAUACCACCUGGGAAGACUAGGUGCUGUAGGCG
rnacentral:rRNA from 1 species